UACGGAGGGGCUAGCGUUGUUCGGAAUUACUGGGCGUAAAGCGCACGUAGGCGGCUUUGUAAGUUAGAGGUGAAAGCCCGGGGCUCAACUCCGGAAUUGCCUUUAAGACUGCAUCGCUAGAAUUGUGGAGAGGUAAGUGGGAAUUCCGAGUGUAGAGGUGAAAUUCGUAGAUAUUCGGAAGAACACCAGUGGCGAAGGCGACUUACUGGACACAUAUUGACGCUGAGGUGCGAAAAGCGUGGGGAGCAAACAGG
rnacentral:rRNA from 1 species